CGAGAGGGCUGGGCGACCGCCGGGCGCUGCGAAGCGCCGGGAGGAAAGUCCGGGCGGCGUAGGACAGGGUGGUGGGUAACGCCCACCAGUCGAAAGGCUAGGGAAAGUGCAGCAGAGAGUAGACCGCCUAAGGGAGCGGUCAGUGUUCAGCUGUCAGCGAUCAGACGCGCAAGCGGCAGCUGAAGGCUGACAGCUGAUCGCUGACCGCUCCCCGGCAAGGGUGAAACGGUGCGGUAAGAGCGCACCAGCGGGCGGGGUGACUCGCUCGGCUUGGUAAACCCCACCCGACGCAAGGCCAAACAGGGGGCAGAGCUUGUCCGGCUCGCUACGACCCCCGGGUGGGCCGCUUGAGGCGACGGGCAACCGUCGUCCUAGAAGAAUGGUCGCCGCCGCCGCCCCCCUUCGAGAGAAAGGGGUCGGCGGAGACAAAACCCGGCUUACAGGCCCUCUCGGGGC
rnacentral:RNase_P_RNA from 1 species